rnacentral:rRNA from 1 species
UACCAGCACCCCGAGCGGUCGGGACGUUUAUUGGGCCUAAAGCAUCCGUAGCCGGUUCUACAAGUCUUCCGUUAAAUCCAGCUGCUUAACAGAUGGGCUGCGGAAGAUACUAUGGAGCUAGGAGGCGGGAGAGGCAAGCGGUACUCGAUGGGUAGGGGUAAAAUCCGUUGAUCCAUUGAAGACCACCAGUGGCGAAGGCGGCUCACUGGCCCGAUACUGACGCUGAGGUGCGAAAGCGUGGGGAGCAAACAGG